UGGGGAAUAUUGCGCAAUGGGGGGAACCCUGACGCAGCCAUGCCGCGUGAAUGAAGAAGGCCUUAGGGUUGUAAAGUUCUUUCGGUAUUGAGGAAGGUUGAUGUGUUAAUAGCACAUCAAAUUGACGUUAAAUACAGAAGAAGCACCGGCUAACUCCGUGCCAGCAGCCGCGGUAAUACGGAGGGUGCGAGCGUUAAUCGGAAUAACUGGGCGUAAAGGGCAAGCAGGCGGUUAUUUAAGUGAGGUGUGAAAGCCCCGGGCUUAACCUGGGAAUUGCAUUUCAGACUGGGUAACUAGAGUACUUUAGGGAGGGGUAGAAUUCCACGUGUAGCGGUGAAAUGCGUAGAGAUGUGGAGGAAUACCGAAGGCGAAGCNAGCCCCUUGGGAAUGUACUGACGCUCAUGUGCGAAAGCGNNGGGGAGCAAACAGGAUUAGAUACCCUGGUAGUCCACGCUGUAAACGCUGUCGAUUUGGGGGGUGGGGUUUAACUCUGGCGCCCGUAGCUAACGUGAUAAAUCGACCGCCUGGGGAGUACGGCCGCAAGUUA
rnacentral:rRNA from 1 species